rnacentral:rRNA from 1 species
UACGUAGGAGGCAAGCGUUGUCCGGAAUCACUGGGCGUAAAGCGCGUGUAGGCGGAUCGCUAAGUCUGUGGUGAAAGCGCCUGGCUUAACCGGGCGAGGUCCAUGGAAACUAGCGGUCUGGAGGCCGGUAGAGGGGGGGGGGUGGAAUUCCGGGUGUAGUGGUGAAAUGCGUAGAGAUCCGGAGGAACACCAGUGGCGAAGGCGGCCCCCUGGGCCCGCGCCUGACGCUGAGACGCGAAAGCGCGGGGAGCGAACGGGG